AACGAACGUUGGCGGCGUGGAUUAGGCAUGCAAGUCGAGCGAAUCCCAGCAAUGGGGGAAGCGGCGAAAGGGGCAGUAAGGCAUGGGUAACCUACCCUGGGGACUGGGAUAGCCCUUCGAGAGAAGGGGUAAUACCGGGCGACGUGUCGGGCCUGCAUCGGUCUGCCACCAAAUGAAUUUCGCCCUGGGAGGGGCCCAUGUGAUAUUAGCUAGUUGGUGGGGUAACGGCCCACCAAGGCGAAGAUGUCUAGCGGGUGUGAGAGCACGACCCGCGCCACUGGCACUGAGACACUGGCCAGACACCUACGGGUGGCUGCAGUCGAGGAUCUUCGGCAAUGGGCGCAAGCCUGACCGAGCGACGCCGCGUGUGCGAUGAAGGCCUUCGGGUUGUAAAGCACUGUCGAGAGGGAGAAAAGCGCAAGCUUGAUCUAUCUCUGGAGGAAGCACGGGCUAAGUUCGUGCCAGCCGCCGCGGUAAAAC
rnacentral:rRNA from 1 species